GCGCCCGAGCCCAACCACUCGCCAGCCGCGCGGGGCCGGCCACUGAGCAUGCCCAGUGAGCGAGCCGGGCUCGCUGCGGAAUGAUUAAACUUCCCCCGGGUCCUUUAGGCUCCCAGAAGGAAGUCGGGACGGAGCCGGAGUCGUUGACGUUGGCGCUCUGCAAGCCCGUGACCUCGGGGAGGAGGAGGCGAGGGCGGGGGGAGUGGACGCGGCUCCCCGAACCUGCCUCCGAGCGGGGCAGCUCUCUAAGGUCAGCCUUGGCCGCGGACCGGGGCUUGCUGCCUUUGACCCGUGUCACUGCGGAGGGGACAGCCGCCACGGCGGCUCAGGCCGGGAACCCUGCGGGCCAGGCUACGUGGAGCCAGUGCAGGAUCUUCAAGCAUCAAUUACUCUUACUCCAAAGCACGUGAACUGCAGGUUUCCGGGAUGGUGUGUCUGCAGAGCUGUGUUCAGAGAAGCUGGUGGUGGAUGGGUCCAUUUGGACUCCCGGAAAGGGCCAGAUGGCCUCAAGUUCCUCAUCUGUAUAAUGAAAAAGAUAAUACUUCAUAGAGUUGUUCUGAAGAUGAAAUGAGACAAUAUCUAUGAAAUACUAGGAAGAGAUUGGGCCAGAAGACACUUUUGAUUAAUAUUAGUCAUUAUUAGCAUCAUCACAAUGACUUUAAGUCUCAAUAUUAUCUUUAUUAUUUUUAGUGUGAAUAAUGAAGAUAAUAAUAAUAGCCUUAACAGGGAAAAUUUCCCUAGACAUUUGUUGGGAAAGAAGGCUAAGAGAGGAAGUCUGAAUUCUGUGCCUGGUCCCUGCCAGCUCCAUGAUGUGUUUGAGGCUGUGACUCAGGACAGGAAUAGGCUCAGAGGACUCCUUGGUGUCACCCACCAGCCACUAUCAGGUCCUGUGCUUCGUGUAUACUUUCGAAGCAGGAUUCAGAGCUUUGCAGGACACUCUUUGUAGAUGGAACAUACAGGUGAAGAAGGGGAUCCUGAAUCUGGAAGGAGACUAUCUCAAAGAACAAAGAGACUGUCUACUAAAAUGUGUCCAGGGAGGUUUGGGAAGUUCGAGCAAGUUGACCAUUGUUGAGUCCAAGAGAUGAUUCGGUUAAUGUGAGUCUCCAAGAGAUUGAUUAUCCAGAUAUAUGGACCGAAUUGAGUUUUGACUCAGCUGAGAGCCAAGCCACCGUCCCUGGAGACCCAUGGAAGACACUCUCACCCUAGGCAUUGCCUCUGGGUGCUCAGGGGGCCUCUCUGAGAACUCUAGCCCAUUCUUACUACUUUCAGCAGGAGAGUGCGGUUCUUACACCAAAUCAUAAAUACCACCCUCAUUGAAAAGUAUGAAGAAAUAAAUGUUGACUUUUGCCUUUGCUUUUAAUGGCAGUGUCUGUUGACCUGCCCCUGGUAUUCCUCAUGGUAUACAUGGGCAACUCUGCAAAGGUAAAACAGCAGGGAAAGGGGGCUGGAAACGGAGAUGAAGGGGAUUUUUUAAACCACAAAAGUUGGCAUUAAAAGGCAGUGGAUAUAAUCUAACAGCUAAAGAAAGUAUAAUUAAAACAUUGAUUUCAUAACAUCAAUCAUGCUCUUUUUAUCUCAAAUUUCAAGAAUUCAUCCUAUAAUAUUUUUAUUAUUUUAUAUUCUGAAAUUACCCAAAGCUCUGAUGUAAAUCUAACCGUGUGAUUAUAAAUUUCCUGAAAAGUCAUGAAGUACUUCACAAAUUAUUCAUUUACUCAAGAUUAAGUGUUAGACUGGCUAUUAUAUUCCCUAAUAAAUCCUAUUAUCGAUUAUUUGUGCAAAUGAUUUACACAUUUAACUACAGUUUUAGCUUGCUGCUUAUUAAGUCUUAAACCCUCAAAAGAUGAGAUUAAAAAAUUGCCUGGGAUAAUAUAUUUUACAUGAAUUAAAUGAUUCAAAACCGACUGCAAAAGAAGCAAAUCCAAUUGCAUCUACUUAGAAUUGCUAAAUAACUUUCAUUAAUGUGUUUUAAAAUUGUCCUCUAUUUUUAUUUUGCAACUUUUACCCAGUACUUUGGGACUGUUUGUUUUCUUCAUUUAC